rnacentral:rRNA from 1 species
CGCGUAGGCGGUUCGCUAAGUCGGAUGUGAAAACUCUGGGCUCAACCCAGAGCCUGCAUCCGAAACUGGCGGGCUAGAGUUCUGGAGGGGGUAGCGGAAUUCCUGGUGUAGCGGUGAAAUGCGUAGAUAUCAGGAGGAACACCGGUGGCGAAGGCGGCUACCUGGACAGAAACUGACGCUGAGGCGCGAAAGCUAGGGGAGCAAACAGGGUUAGAUACCCUGGUAGUCCUAGCCCUAAACGAUGGAUACUUGGUGUGACGGGGAUUGAAUCCCGUCGUGCCGAAGCUAACGCAUUAAGUAUCCCGCCUGGGGAGUACGGUCGCAAGGCUGAA